CUUUUUUAAGGCCUCACACAUGGCAUAUGGAGGUUAAAAUAUACUAACAUUGCCUUCUGAGAAAUACUUCUGAAUUUAUGUAUUGAAUGAACUAAUUACUCAUUUGAAGACAUCUCAACUAAUUAAAUCCAACAGAUGAAUUUUUUAAUAUAUCACUUCGGGAAGACAAAGUGCUUCUUGGGCUUAUUGAACUUCAUUUCACAAAUGAAGUAAGUUAGAAGCAAAGAAUACAGUGAGAAUGGGUCUCAAAAAUAUUGUAGUUGAAUUCAGAUUGCAUUCUGCUGUUUAUAUUCUGACCAGAGUAGAUGUUGCAUAAAAUAUUUGUAUGGAAAUCUUUUAAGACAAGGAAGCAAACAUUACAAAACCUCUAAAUUGUACAGACAGAAAUAGUCAUGACAAAAUGGUUAACAUUUAAGGUCAUUCAAUAUAUUUUUAAAUGGAGUUCCUGUCAUGGCACAGUGGUUAACAAACCUGACUAGAAUCCAUGAGGACAAGGGUUAGAUCCCCAGACUCGGAGUGGGUUAAGGAUCCACUUUUGCCAUGAUCUGUGAUGUAGGUCACAGACUCAGCUCAGAUCUGGUGUUGCUGUGGUGUAGGUGGGCAGCUAUAGCUCCGAUUUGACCCCUAACCUGGGAACCUCCAUAUGCUACAGGUAUGCGCCCCCAAAAAUAUAUUUUUAUCUUAUGCAAAUGCAGAAAAUUCAAUAUCAAAGGGAUGGUGCUGUCACUGAAGGGGUGACUACUGUCCUUAAAGGUAUUUUUUUUCAUAGCAACUUGCAGCAGUAGCUUUGCUAAUAGUUUCAGACAGCAAAUGACUAAUCAUUUUUAUAGAGGGAAUUAUUCAGGGAAAUAGAAUCUCAAAAUAUAUAAAAGGCCAAAACACUUGAUGAUGUAUUCCAAAACAGAUUAAACUAAUGAAUUUAUUUCAGUCUUUCCCCUCUUUUUAUUUCGGAGUUGACAUCAGGCAUUAAUUAAAUGUACUCAGCGAAAGAAUUUUUUGGAAGGAAUUAAGCUGUGCUUAUGGAUUGUUAACGUGCCUCGCGAAAGGUUCCCAGGGAAAAAACUGUCAUCAUUCGGUAAUUUCUGCCCCCAUUUGUUAGUACUAAGCAAGUAAGAAGAUUCUUAUAUUAGAAGGGCUGAUGAACUAAAAAAAAAAAAAAAAAAAAAAAAAAAAAANAUAAAUACAAUAUUUUAAUACUCAACCAUUUUUGUACUCAAUCAAAAUAGUGGAACAUGUUUUAUACUUGCUUUAUAGAUUGAGAUCAUGCAGGACCAUUAUGCAUUCUAAGAUGGUAACAAUCAGUUGCUAAAAUCACAGCACUAAAAUCUGCAAUUCAGUGACUGUCACUUUAUAAUUAACUACUUGUUUUUUAUUAGCAGUUAACAAAGCAUUUUAAUGGUGAAGAAGCUGUAAAAUACAAAGAACAUCCUCACAUUAUUCUUAUGAUGAUUAACUUAUGAAGAACUGCUAAUACACAUUAAAUGCCUUAAUAAUAUCGGCGUUUCUAUCCUGCUUUCUCAUUUCUGCUAUGUAUUUUAGCACCAUUAGUUAAAAAGUGAAAACAGAUUUAAAUCUAGAUAUUUCCUUGAAACACCAACCAGGUCCUUACGACAAUACAUUACUGACAUUCUUAAGAUAGGUGGGCUGUAGCUGUGUAUCAAAAAGUAGCUAUUCUAUCUUUUAAAUCAAUAUAUGUAAUUCACUUCAUCAUUAAAAUGAUAAUUAAAAAUCCCAUGAUUAUAUAAAUAGAUUCACUAAAAGCAUUUGAAAAAAUUCAUCUUUCAUAAUAAAAGCUCUUAAAAACUGGGUGUAGAAGAAACAUUCCACAACUCAAUAAAGACCAUAUACAACAAAUCCACAGCUAACAUUAUACUUAGUGGAGAAAAAUGAAAAGGACUUACUUUAAGAUAUGGAAUAAGACAUGGUUGUCCACUUUUGCCACUCCAGUUAACUUAGCAUUGGAAGUCCUAGGUACAGCAAUUAUGUAAGAAAAAUAAAUAAAUAAACAAUGUCCAAAUUAGGAAGUAAGAAGUAAACCUGCAAUUAUUUGCUGACAAUACAAUAUUGUAUAUUGGAAAUCUCAAAGAAGCAAUAAAAAAACUGUUGGAAUUAAUAAAUGAUUUCGGUAAUAUGGCAGGUUACAAAAUCAACUUGUGACAUUCCUUUAUAUAAUAAUGAAGUGUCAAAAAAAAAAAAGAAGUUAAAAAAAAGAACCCAGUCACAAUAGCAUCAAAUAUAAUAAAAUAUUUAGGAAUAAACCUAACCAGGGAAGUGAAAGAUUUAUUCAAUAAAAACUGUAAGACUUUACUGAAAGAAAUCAUACAUAAACAAAUGGAAAGAUAUCUGUGUCUUUAAGUAUUGUUAAAAUGGCAUAGCACCCCAAGUCAUCUACAGAUUCAAUAAAAUCCCCAUGAAAAUGUCAGUGCCAUUCUUCACAGAAAUAGAAAAAAAUAAAUCUAAAAUUUGUGAGGAACUAUGAAAGUUCUGGAAUAGCCAAAGAAAUUCUGAGAAGAAAAAAAAACAAAGCCAGAGGUUUCACGUUUCCUGAUUUCAUACUGCACUACAAAUCCAUAGUAAUGAAUACAGUAUGAUACUGGAACAAAAAUAGACAUAUAAACCACAGGAACAGGCUAUAGAUCCCAGAAUUAAGUCCCAUCAUAUCAGGUCAACUAAUAAUCAACAAGGGAGACAGUAAUACACUAUGGGGGAAGGAAAGUCUGUUUAACAAAUGUUUCUGGGAAAACUGGGAAAAAAUAACACGAAGUACAAUAAAAUUAGACCCUUAUCUCACACAACUCUCAAAAAUUACCUCCGAGUUGAUCGAAGACUUAAAAGUAGUAAUGAUACUAUAAAACACUUAGAAGAAAACAGGGGAAAACUCAUCCAUAUUGGCCUUGGGAAUGACGUUUUAGACUUGAUGCCAAAACACAAACAAAACCAAAAAUCAACAAACAGGACU
rnacentral:lncRNA from 1 species